AUCUCUACUUCGACAUUACUUCUUUUGGGAGUUUUCCCUGCAAACCCUUAUCCUUGGAAAAGGGAAGAGUGCUCUGCCUGGGCUCCUUUACCGUGGCUAUUUAAUGGCUGAAAAACUGAAAAAAGAACUAUGUUUUCUUCACAAGCUGCGACCUUCCUAAAGUAAUCAUCUAGCACAAGUUUGCCUCCUGGACUAUUCCAGAAAUUGAUCUUCCAGUAACUGAGAGAACUCAAAAAUACCCAAUGCUGAUGUGGCUUCAGUAGUCAUUGUGGUCUCUUCCUCAGAAGAAAGUCUGAAAAUAGGGGUCCCCACAGGGUUUUGUUCUGUAGUUUACAGAGGCUAUAAAUAUAUUAAUCAACCCUAAUGAUUCUCCAGAAUAUAUUCACUUCAAUACUAAUGGCUAGAUUGCCCCAUAAUGAAGAGAGAUUUUAUGAUAUUUUUGUCUAGUUCUAUUGCACUUUUAGUGGCUGGAGAGAUUCCAUUUAAGUUAAUCUCGUGUCUCUCCUUCAGGAAGCAAGGUCAUGUCCAGUAUCAGUUAAAUAUAUGGCACUACGCCUAUCAAGACUUUUGGAUCUUGCAGUUCCAGGGGCAGAUUUCAACACACGCAGUCCUUUACUAAUAUUAAAUAGCAAAAUUGCCUUAAGGAUCAUUAAAACCGUUGUGAUUUUUUUGUGCAUCUGCUGUUUGUCUCUCAGUGGAAUCUGACCUCUCCUUGCUUUGUGUGCCUUGAAGGGCUUCCUGCAGUCUAGAGAGGAGGUAAUUCACUUCAUUUUGGCUUUUUAUCCUAUUUCUGUCAUUAGCAAACUAAUUAAUGAUACCUAACACCAGCAUGUGUGCUGGAGAGACUACAGUAAUGAGGUGAGACUUCCAAAAUGAACUUAUGUCCCUCCAAUUCAACACUGAUUUGUCGUUCUCUGGAAGUCUCGUAUCGGUGUUCAUAAUCUGUGAUUGGCAUCCUUUUGUGUCAGCAGCCCAGCAAGGUGGAGAGCAAAAAGGAGAAAGGGAAAGAACUUUUCUGCAUUUCCUAAGAGUGGAUUGAGUUAGAUGAAGGAAUACUCUCAUCCUAUUAUGAAAAAAAUCAAGCACUCCCCUGCAGGAGACAGCUGGGAACACUAAAAUAGUGCAAUGGGAACAUGUAGACAGCAUUUUAGCCCUGAAAUAAGCAGUGUGGCAAGUGUUGUCUUUGUCUUUUUAUGUACUGUUUUAUAGGACUGUCCUUCAUUUUGUCUUACAGCAGUAAUGUUUGUGGCACUUCAACAAAAACGGCUUUUGCAGUUAUUAAAAUGCUGAGGUGUUUACUC
rnacentral:lncRNA from 7 species